UACAGAGGUCCCAAGCGUUGUUCGGAUUCAUUGGGCGUAAAGGGUGCGUAGGCGGCGCGGUAAGUCGGGUGUGAAAUCUUGGAGCUUAACUCCGAAACUGCAUUCGAUACUGCCGUGCUUGAGGACUGGAGAGGAGACUGGAAUUUACGGUGUAGCGGUGAAAUGCGUAGAUAUCGUAAGGAAGACCAGUGGCGAAGGCGAGUUUCUGGACAGUUACUGACGCUGAGGCACGAAGGCCAGGGGAGCAAACGGG
rnacentral:rRNA from 1 species